AGUCACGGAGGCGCAUUUGUCGAGCGAAAUGCCCGCAGCAGAGACGACAAAGAGAGAAGCGUAACGGAGAGAAGACAGGACCAACCGGAAACGAAGCCGGUGCAGGCAGAAGAAGAAAAUGUCCGGUGAAAAAAAAGGCCGCGUCAAGGUCCUCAGGCAGAUUCGCGACGCGGUUUAAGUCAUGUCACACACCACCUGUCGCGCGACUAAGCCAAGUAAAUGCGCAUGCUCUUCGUCAUCUCUCGCGGAAAAAGCAACGACAGCUCCAUGGAAGUUUCUUCCAGCCUGUGAUUACGCUCAAUCGAUCGAGGCAAUACAGGAAGUAGCGACUGGAUGUUCUAAGCACGGCUCGCUUAUGCAACUGGACGUGAAGUUUCAAUUCGUACGUUUCCAGCCGGAGAAAUGAAUAUUUUCGAUCUCCGCUGUCGAUAAAACACCUCGUAGUUCGAUCGUGCUCACGUCCUCCCAGGAAUCUCUCUCGAUCUCAUUGUUCGUGGGCAGCAGGCCAGAAAGUGGCGCUUCCGGUUUCAGGUUGAGUUGCACGACGGUCAGACGAACGGACAGGCCUGGCUGCAUCCUGACUCGCCAGCGCCCCUGCGUGAUACUCGCGGAAAAUUGUCGUAGCAACGGGAAGUGGAUAAGUCGACGCGCGGAACCGGAAGUCGCCGUGGGAUCGCUUGAAAACACAGAGCGAAACCUGCAUGCUCCCUGGGAACCUCCGAUUAACUACACGCACGCGUAUAUUUUUCGCCUGACUCUCUUUAAUGCUGCGGAAAAUGUCGGCUUCGUAACUAUCGAGAAAAGCAUGAAGCACGGAGCAUGCCUACAAACUUCUCGGUUUCUAUAGUCUUUACUACCGUACCUUCACAAAGGAUGAGAAUAAUGAAGUUGUCGGAGACGUCAAACCUAACGAAGCACAUUAAUCAAUGACACAUCAACGGAUGCAACAUUCAGAAAAUUGGACGCUCAAGCGUACAUGUCUGGCAAGGAUAGUCGGGGAAUUAACAAUGAUACCCACACGAAUUUGAUCUACAUCCAGAAAUCGUGGGCGACGCUGACAUCAUGCUGACCAACGACUUCCUAGACUCGCUGUCCUUGAAAGAUACAGACACUUCUGCGGUUUGACAGCGUCAUGUAUUAAGUGUAUUUCGUUCCAAACAAGAGAAAACAUAAUAUUCCUAGUGCGAGAAGUAUUAUUAUUUAUGCGCGCUAAUAAUACGAUCGGUAAAUGAAUCGAAAAAAUCAGACUGAUGAAUUUUUUUACAUCAAUGAGAGACAAAG